GGCCGCCUGGCGAAAUGGCAUCGCGUCUGACUACGAUGAUCGCGUCAUAGUAGGCUAAUCGCAUCAGGAGAUUGCAAGUUCGAUCCUUGCGGUGGUCA